UGUGUAGGCUGUCAUAUAAGUCUGAUGUGAAAGCCCCGGGCUCAACCCGGGAAGUGCAUUGGAAACUGUACGACUGGAGUCUCGGAGAGGUUGGUAGAAUUCUUGGUGUAGAGGUGAAAUUCGUAGAUAUCAAGAGGAAUACCGGCGGCGAAGGCGGCCAACUGGACGAAGACUGACGCUGAGACACGAAAGCGUGGGGAGCAAACAGGAUUAGAUACCCUGGUAGUCCACGCCGUAAACGAUGGGUGCUAGAUGUCACGGGCAAUGACUCUCGUGGUGUCGACGCUAACGCAUUAAGCACCCCGCCUGGGAAGUACGGCCGCAAGGCUAAA
rnacentral:rRNA from 1 species